rnacentral:rRNA from 1 species
AGUGAACGCUGGCGGCAUGCCUAACACAUGCAAGUCGAACGGCAGCACGGUAACUUCCUCCUCUUGGCGAUUGGCGGACGCGGGCGGGAUAGAACUACACAGGUCCUUAAUUUUGCGAUGGGGCGGCCGAAGGCGGAUUAACACCGCUACCGAAUAAGGGCUGAGAGCGGAAGCAGGGCGUGUUCCGCGCUUUCGCGUUGGCCGGUGGCGAUGUCGGAUUAGCUAGUUGGCGGGGUAAAGGCCCACCAAGGCGACGAUCCGUAGCUGGUCUGAGAGGAUGACCAGCCACACUGGAACUGAGACACGGUCCAGACUCCUACGGGAGGCAGCAGUGGGGAAUUUUGGACAAUGGGCGCAAGCCUGAUCCAGCAAUGCCGCGUGUGUGAAGAAGGCCUUCGGGUUGUAAAGCACUUUUGUCGGGAAAGAAAACCUUGGCGCUAAUACGGUGGGGGGCUGACGGUACCGGAAGAAUAAGCACCGGCUAACUACGUG